rnacentral:rRNA from 1 species
AGAGGAAGGCCCCCCACACUGGUACUGAGACACGGACCAGACUCCUACGGGAGGCAGCAGUGAGGAAUAUUGGUCAAUGGGCGAGAGCCUGAACCAGCCAAGUCGCGUGAGGGAAGAAGGUACUGAGUAUUGUAAACCUCUUUUGCCAGGGGACAAAGGCGGCCACGGGUGGCCGUAAGAGGGUACCUGGAGAAAAAGCAUCGGCUAACUCCGUGCCAGCAGCCGCGGUAAUACGGAGGAUGCGAGCGUUAUCCGGAUUUAUUGGGUUUAAAGGGUGCGCAGGCGGCGUGUCAAGUCAGCGGUAAAAUGUCGGGGCUCAACCCCGGCCGGCCGUUGAAACUGGCGUGCUCGAGUUGGAGAGAAGUAUGCGGAAUUCGUGGUGUAGCGGUGAAAUGCAUAGAUAUCACGAAGAACCCCGAUUGCGAAGGCAGCAUACCGGCUCCACACUGACGCUGAGGCACGAAAGCGUGGGUAUCGAACAGGAUUAGAUACCCUGGUAGUCCACGCAGUAAACGAUGAAUGCUAGGUGUCCGGGGCUUUGUUUCCUGGGUGCC